rnacentral:rRNA from 1 species
UACGGAGGGUGCGAGCGUUAUCCGGAAUUACUGGGUUUAAAGGGUGCGUAGGCGGCGCAGUAAGUCAGGAGUGAAAGUUUGCGGCUCAACCGUAAAAUUGCUUUUGAUACUGCUGUGCUGGAAUUAGGAUGAGGUCAGCGGAAUGUGGCAUGUAGCGGUGAAAUGCAUAGAUAUGCCAUAGAACACCAAUUGCGAAGGCAGCUGGCUAGACCUGGAUUGACGCUGAGGCACGAAAGCGUGGGGAGCGAACAGG